rnacentral:lncRNA from 10 species
GCCUGUAGCCCCAGCUACUCGGGAGGCUGAGCCAGGAGAAUGGCGUGAACCCGGGAGGCAGAGCUUGCAGUGAGCCGAGAUCGCUCCACGGCACUCCAGCUUGGGCAACAGAGCGAGACUCCAUCUUAAAAAAAAAAAAAAAAAGAAACAUCAGUGGAAGAGGAAGAAACUGCAGGUACAGGAAUAAACUUACGUGAUCCUCAUUUCAAGGAGAAGAAGGAGAAGUUGAAGAAGGAGGAGAAGGAGAAGGAUGAGAAGAAAAACAAGAAGAGGAAGGAGAAGGAGGAGGAAAAUGAGAAGGAGAAGAAGAGAAGGAACAGCAGCAGUUGCAGGAGGAGGAGAAAGAGGAGGAGGAGGAGGAGGGAGUGUGCAGAAGCUGGGGGGUAAAUGCAAUCUUGAGAAAUUCAGCACAGUUCCAACAGUGUGUGUUAUGCCUGGGCACGAAGGGUCCUACCUCAGCAAGAU